GAGCGUGCUGGGGAGGUGUGGCGCUCCUGCCAGGCUCCGUGGAGCAGGACACCCCCACCCCCACCCCCGCCAACCCCUGCGACAUCCAUAAAACGCUUCCCCCUCCAUCCCCACCCCCACCUCCAACACCCGCACACCUGGUCCCCACGUGGAGCUGGCCGUGGGAACCUGGGGGUAGUGAGCCACCAGGUGGGAACCCGAGGACUGCGCAGAACCUUUGCAGAAGCACAAGCCCAGCACCUCGCGGUGCCAGACUGUGCAGAGGACCCUUCUUUGUCACGUGGUUCCCAGACGCGGGUGCAAAUCUCUCUGAGGACUGCGUACGUGCCUCUCUGCGUGGGGGAGUGGGGAAUGCUGGGCUCAUCCUCUGGAACCCAGAAGGCCUAGCUUCUAGAACCGCUGCUGACAGGUGUCUGCGGAGGAGGCUCCCCAUCUGCUGGACCAACCGCCGGCUUCCUUCCUCUCCCCAGGACUGAGUCACUGGAGCAUCUAUCUGCACGCUGCGGUUUCGACUUUCCCCCAAGUGCAUAGCGGUAUGUCAUCUGAGAGGCAGAAGUCAGGCUGCCCCUGGUGCCAAGACAGAGGCUGAGGUGACAUGCAUUGUCCCGGCAGCCUGGCUUCUUACAACCUCCUGAGAGGACAGAAGGACCUGUCAGGCAUCAGCCUGGUGGAGAAAUCUCUUUGAUUUCCACAGCCUGAAUAUUACUAUCCUGUGCGGCCAGGAGCAGAAGAGUUUCGUUUCACUGUUUCUAUGUUUAUUUAUUUUUAAUCCAAAUACACAGAGGUAGCUUU
ensembl:processed_transcript 1810059H22Rik RIKEN cDNA 1810059H22 gene